AGUGAACGCUGGCGGUAGGCCUAACACAUGCAAGUCGAACGGCAGCACAGAGGAGCUUGCUCCUUGGGUGGCGAGUGGCGGACGGGUGAGGAAUACAUCGGAAUCUACUCUGUCGUGGGGGAUAACGUAGGGAAACUUACGCUAAUACCGCAUACGACAUACGGGUGAAAGCAGGGGAUCUUCGGACCUUGCGCGAUUGAAUGAGCCGAUGUGGGAUUAGCUAGUUGGCGGGGUAAAGGCCCACCAAGGCGACGAUCCGUAGCUGGUCGGAGAGGAUGAUCAGCCACACUGGAACUGAGACACGGUCCAGACUCCUACGGGAGGCAGCAGUGGGGAAUAUUGGACAAUGGGCGCAAGCCUGAUCCAGCCAUACCGCGUGGGUGAAGAAGGCCUUCGGGUUGUAAAGCCCUUUUGUUGGGAAAGAAAUCCAUCUGGUUAAUACCCGGGUGGGAUGACGGUACCCAAAGAAUAAGCACCGGCUAACUUCGUGCCAGCAGCCGCAGUAA
rnacentral:rRNA from 1 species